ensembl:lncRNA
ACAUAGGAGUGGUAGUAGAAGCCAUGAGAAGAUAUUACAUCACCAAGAGAACGAGUAAAAGAGAAGAGAAGAGGGCCUAAUAUGUAGCCCUGGGGGACACCGGUGGAGAGUCUACACAGUUUGGAUGUGAAUCCUCUCCAUGCUACCUGAUAGGACGGCCCAUCCAGAUAUGACUGAAACCAUCUCCAGCCAGUCACACCAAGGCAGGAGAGAACAUAGAGGAGAAUGUGUUGUAGUUUACUGUCAGACUCUGCUGAAAGGUCCAGAGGAAUCAAGACAGAUAACAGUUUGGCAGCUUUGGCCGCAUGAAGUUUCUCCGUCAUUGCCAUGAGGGCUGUUUCUGUUGAAUGUGCCGGUUUGUAGCCAGACUAGGAUUGGGAUCAUGGAGAUCAUGGAGUCAUUUUGUGUAACUGAUGCUUGCAAGUUUACAGCAGUAAUUACCAUCUGUUUUUAUUGCAUUAUGAGCAUUGUUAGUGAUGUUUAAGAUCUGUUUCCUUUAAAGCCUGCUGUAAAGGCUCUCUUAGAUAAGAUUAAGGAUUACAGGUGGAGGCAGUCUUAACUUCUCCAGUGGACAGUUGAAAGUUUUCUACUCUCCUCUGACACUAGAACAGUCUGCCUUUAAAACAGGCUGCUAGCUGGCAUGAUGCAUGGGUGCAUCACUGUUGGACCAGUCUACAACAGAAUUUGAACAUGAUGAAACCAGGAGAGUAUCAAGCGGUACUAUGGCAGCUGUGAAGGCACUCUGUUGUCGCUCAGUCAAUGUGCUUUGCAGUCCAACGAAACGAGUAUCUAUAUCGGACACCGGAGCUGUUUCUGGAUGGGGACUGGAUUGGUUUAGUUUGAAAGGAUCAUAUGGAGUAACCAGUGUAUGAAACAAGCUCUACAUAGUGGAAUUCCUUCAAGAAUUCUUCUGUAUCUUCAUAUUGACACCAUACUGGUUAUGUUCAGAAUCUUGACAUGAUCCGGUAUGCUGGUUAUGUAAUAAGCUUUCACAAUUUCGAAAAUCAAUCUAAUUUUUGUUUGUAACCUUAGUAUUUAUUUGAGUAUUUAUUAAUUUAAGUAACAGUUGGAGAGCUAGAUUUAUAGUAAUAAUUUAAAUAUCUGAGUUAUGUAAAUGUUUAUAUAGUUAUGUUAAACAACACACAAAAAAAGAUUCUCUACCAUAGAUCCAUAAUUUUGACAAACUUAUAAACCAACUCUAUUAUGUUGUUCACACUGCAUUAGAAUGAAUGAGAAUGGUUAUAUUACAUCUUUAAUUGCAUUUUAUAAAUGAACUAUUUUGAAUGCAUUUCUUUUAAACAUUUACAAAUAUUGCAUUAUUCAUAAUUAAAAAGAUUAAAUAAUGAUUAGAAGCAUUGCCUUUUGGGUGACAUUUUCCACUCCGUGCUCUGUUUGUUAUAGUAUUAACUCCCUGUAACAAACUU